GGUUAAGCGACUAAGCGUACACGGUGGAUGCCCUGGCAGUCAGAGGCGAUGAAGGACGUGCUAAUCUGCGAAAAGCGUCGGUAAGGUGAUAUGAACCGUUAUAGCCGGCGAUGUCCGAAUGGGGAAACCCAGUGUGAUUCGUCACACUAUCGUUAACUGAAUACAUAGGUUAACGAGGCGAACCGGGGGAACUGAAACAUCUAAGUACCCCGAGGAAAAGAAAUCAACCGAGAUUCCCCCAGUAGCGGCGAGCGAACGGGGAGCAGCCCAGAGUCUGAAUCAGCUUGUGUGUUAGUGGAACGGUCUGGAAAGUCCGACGGUACAGGGUGAUAGUCCCGUACACCAAAAUGCACAGGCUGUGAACUCGAAGAGUAGGGCGGGACACGUGGUAUCCUGUCUGAAUAUGGGGGGACCAUCCUCCAAGGCUAAAUACUCCUGACUGACCGAUAGUGAACCAGUACCGUGAGGGAAAGGCGAAAAGAACCCCGGCGAGGGGAGUGAAAAAGAACCUGAAACCGUGUACGUACAAGCAGUGGGAGCACCUUCGGGUGUGACUGCGUACCUUUUGUAUAAUGGGUCAGCGACUUAUAUUCUGUAGCAAGGUUAACCGUAUAGGGGAGCCGCAGGGAAACCGAGUCUUAACUGGGCGUUAAGUUGCAGGGUAUAGACCCGAAACCCGGUGAUCUAGCCAUGGGCAGGUUGAAGGUUGGGUAACACUAACUGGAGGACCGAACCGACUAAUGUUGAAAAAUUAGCGGAUGACUUGUGGCUGGGGGUGAAAGGCCAAUCAAACCGGGAGAUAGCUGGUUCUCCCCGAAAGCUAUUUAGGUAGCGCCUCGUGAACUCAUCUUCGGGGGUAGAGCACUGUUUCGGCUAGGGGGUCAUCCCGACUUACCAACCCGAUGCAAACUACGAAUACCGAAGAAUGUUAUCACGGGAGACACACGGCGGGUGCUAACGUCCGUCGUGAAGAGGGAAACAACCCAGACCGCCAGCUAAGGUCCCAAAGUCAUGGUUAAGUGGGAAACGAUGUGGGAAGGCACAGACAGCCAGGAUGUUGGCUUAGAAGCAGCCAUCAUUUAAAGAAAGCGUAAUAGCUCACUGGUCGAGUCGGCCUGCGCGGAAGAUGUAACGGGGCUAAACCAUGCACCGAAGCUGCGGCAGCGACACUAUGUGUUGUUGGGUAGGGGAGCGUUCUGUAAGCCUGCGAAGGUGACCUGUGAGGGUUGCUGGAGGUAUCAGAAGUGCGAAUGCUGACAUAAGUAACGAUAAAGCGGGUGAAAAGCCCGCUCGCCGGAAGACCAAGGGUUCCUGUCCAACGUUAAUCGGGGCAGGGUGAGUCGACCCCUAAGGCGAGGCCGAAAGGCGUAGUCGAUGGGAAACAGGUUAAUAUUCCUGUACUUGGUGUUACUGCGAAGGGGGGACGGAGAAGGCUAUGUUAGCCGGGCGACGGUUGUCCCGGUUUAAGCAUGUAGGCUGGUUAUCCAGGCAAAUCCGGAUAAUCAAGGCUGAGGUGUGAUGACGAGGCACUACGGUGCUGAAGUAACAAAUGCCCUGCUUCCAGGAAAAGCCUCUAAGCAUCAGGUAACAUCAAAUCGUACCCCAAACCGACACAGGUGGUCAGGUAGAGAAUACCAAGGCGCUUGAGAGAACUCGGGUGAAGGAACUAGGCAAAAUGGUGCCGUAACUUCGGGAGAAGGCACGCUGGUGUGUAGGUGAAGCCCCUGCGGGUGGAGCUGAGACCAGUCGAAGAUACCAGCUGGCUGCAACUGUUUAUUAAAAACACAGCACUGUGCAAACACGAAAGUGGACGUAUACGGUGUGACGCCUGCCCGGUGCCGGAAGGUUAAUUGAUGGGGUUAUCCGUAAGGAGAAGCUCUUGAUCGAAGCCCCGGUAAACGGCGGCCGUAACUAUAACGGUCCUAAGGUAGCGAAAUUCCUUGUCGGGUAAGUUCCGACCUGCACGAAUGGCGUAAUGAUGGCCAGGCUGUCUCCACCCGAGACUCAGUGAAAUUGAACUCGCUGUGAAGAUGCAGUGUACCCGCGGCAAGACGGAAAGACCCCGUGAACCUUUACUAUAGCUUGACACUGAACAUUGAGCCUUGAUGUGUAGGAUAGGUGGGAGGCUUUGAAGCGUGGACGCCAGUCUGCGUGGAGCCAACCUUGAAAUACCACCCUUUAAUGUUUGAUGUUCUAACGUUGGCCCCUUAUCGGGGUUGCGGACAGUGUCUGGUGGGUAGUUUGACUGGGGCGGUCUCCUCCCAAAGCGUAACGGAGGAGCACGAAGGUUAGCUAAUCCUGGUCGGACAUCAGGAGGUUAGUGCAAUGGCAUAAGCUAGCUUGACUGCGAGCGUGACGGCGCGAGCAGGUGCGAAAGCAGGUCAUAGUGAUCCGGUGGUUCUGAAUGGAAGGGCCAUCGCUCAACGGAUAAAAGGUACUCCGGGGAUAACAGGCUGAUACCGCCCAAGAGUUCAUAUCGACGGCGGUGUUUGGCACCUCGAUGUCGGCUCAUCACAUCCUGGGGCUGAAGUAGGUCCCAAGGGUAUGGCUGUUCGCCAUUUAAAGUGGUACGCGAGCUGGGUUUAGAACGUCGUGAGACAGUUCGGUCCCUAUCUGCCGUGGGCGCUGGAGAAUUGAGGGGGGCUGCUCCUAGUACGAGAGGACCGGAGUGGACGCAUCACUGGUGUUCGGGUUGUCAUGCCAAUGGCACUGCCCGGUAGCUAAAUGCGGAAGAGAUAAGUGCUGAAAGCAUCUAAGCACGAAACUUGCCCCGAGAUGAGUUCUCCCUGAGACUUUAAGUCUCCUGAAGGAACGUUAAAGACGAUGACGUUGAUAGGCCGGGUGUGUAAGCGCAGCGAUGCGUUGAGCUAACCGGUACUAAUGAACCGUGAGGCUUAACCUU
rnacentral:rRNA from 1 species